AUUUUGAAAACUGAACGUUUUAGGGGGGUCAAAGGAGUUGACUUUUUAUACAUUGGGAAAUUGGGAAAACUUUCUUCAUGAAAGUUGUAGAGCGCGUCGAUACGAGUUCGUGGACAUAUGGAACGUAAUAUUCGGAGUUCGUAUGAAUAAGUUACGAAUAUUUGAAAAUUGGGAUUUUCUAUAAAUAUGAAAAAAAAAUCCGAAUAUUGCAAAUGAGGACAGAAUUUCUGGAACUCCAGAAAUUUCUCCCCAUUUCUCUCCCGAGCCCAGCCGCGACCCCCUCCCUUCGUCACCUUCGUUCUUCCUCAUCCGGCCACCGAUUGAUGUGAAACAAAGUGGGUUUUUCUGGUCUCGACCCCCUUUACGAGUUUGUAGAAGAAAUCGAAGUGAAAUACGAGCUGUAUGAGGCUCUACAAGGUCGAGAAGAGAGCCUCGUCGGAGACGAAAUCGCUCUUCCCCACUUUUUCUGGGCUCUACUUUGUCUGGCCAUAUCUUCCUCUACAGGCCUCCGAUCGACCUGAUUCCAAAAGCAAUUUUUCUCACCGUGAAGUUUUCUACAACUUUCCAGAAGACAUCGACUUGAGAUAACCAUCGUGGUGGCCGCUAGAAGACCGAGAAGCCGCACAGCCGAGCUGGAAAUCUUCUUCCUUCGCCACCUUGGUUCUCCCAGCUCCGGCCACUAUAGCUCGAGUUCUUUGAGGGCUUUUCUAGCCCAGAGGAAGUAGAAGCUAUCCCCAAGAAGGCUUGCAGCGAUUUGAUCCGGGGUGAUCGAAUUUUGAAGAUUGGGAAACUAGGGUUCUUCGGGUUUCAAAACUUGCGAGGUGAUUGACGGUCUCCCUUGGGUGAACGAUUUCGGUGUGUAUUGUGUUGAAUUGAAGACGCAGCGGGAAUAUCGAGCGGGUAAUCCUACAGGUCAGGCGAAUCGGGAAGGUGAUCGAGCUGCUUAGAGAAAUUGCAUUGGGUAAAUCUGGAUUUAUAUUGUGAGGUUUAUUAUGCUCUUUUGAGUAUUGUAAAUUAAGUUGUGAGAGUGUGAUGUAAUAAGUAAAUUGAAGAUUGGUUUUUGUAAUAUUGAGAGGUGUGAAGUGUGGUUGUUUGUGAGAAAAAAAUUCAGGACGUUAUUUGUAUUGAUGUUAAUCAUGUUUCGGAUUUGAAUUGAUUAUUCAAAAUUUGGGGCGUGACAACUAUCCUCCAACCUUGUUUCGCUAGCAUACCUAGGUUGAACCAAUGCAAAUUUUUGAAUCCCAUUCCACCUUCAUUCUUGGGUACACACAGUCUAUCCCAAGAUCUCCAGUGAAUCUUCUGUUUUUCUUCGGAGUCACCCCACCAGAAUCCUGCACAUAGCUGCUGAAGAUCUUCACAUAAACCAAUAGGUAACUUAUAGCAGUUCAUC